rnacentral:rRNA from 1 species
AGUUGCCAUCAUUCAGUUGGGCACUCUAGCGAGACUGCCGGUAAUAAACCGGAGGAAGUGGGGAUGACGUCAAAUCAUCAUGCCCCUUAUGACCUGGGCUACACACGUGCUACAAUGGCUGGUACAACGAGUUGCGAGUCGGUGACGGCGAGCUAAUCUCUUAAAGCCAAUCUCAGUUCGGAUUGUAGGCUGCAACUCGCCUACAUGAAGUCGGAAUCGCUAGUAAUCGCGGAUCAGCACGCCGCGGUGAAUACGUUCCCGGGCCUU